rnacentral:SRP_RNA from 1 species
GGAAGGGCACUAUGCAACAGAUUGGUGUGAACUCCGUGAGGUCCGGAAGGAAGCAGCGGUAAGCAUUUUAUCUGUGUGACGUAGCAGGUCUUUUCCUG